GGUUUCGGAUCCUACCCUAACAAUUCUUUUGGACGGUCCAGAUCAGAGCACGGGAUUUCUUCUUUUGUGUUGGUGGUGGUGGUGAUUCUUUCGUGACUACGGGCGGAUUCGUGAAUUGGGUCAUCGCCGUUCUUUGCUCAUUGUAAAUGGGGAAUCUGAAAAUGAACAGAAGUUGUGGAUUUCUUUCUUGAAGUUCUUCAGGAUACUACAAGCUUUACAGAAUUCCGUAUCGGGGUUAUUUGCCAGUCAGGGUCGUUUGCCAAUCAAAGCAGGAGGAAGAAGUCUGUGGAGAUCUGUAAUACUUCAUGUAUUUGACAAGAAAGAAAUGGUGGUUGGUUUUUAAAUUUCAAAUCAUCAGAUGGGUUCUCUCAAGAAAUGCAUUCAAAGAACUUGCAGUGGCAGAAAUGUUGAGGGAUCAGAAGUGUGGACAUGUCAGAAGAGAGACAAAAGUGACGGCUGAUUGGAAAUGGGUCCUUGAUUGGUAACUCGGGUGUCGUCUGGGCUGAGAACCGAAUGGUUCCAGUGACUUUUUAUGGUCUGCGGUUGGCUCAAAUGUAGCAGAACUGGAAUCCUUGAAAAGGCUGAUGGAUUUCUUCUUUUUUUUCCUUUUUGAUCCUCUCAUUCGAAGAGUGAUGGUGGAAAAGGUGAUUCGAAGAACGUUAUUGGUUGGGAGUCUAAUCCACGAUCCAAGCUGUCAAAAUUUAGUUACCUUUUCUAUCAAGAUCCUACUUCUAGUUUCAAAUUCUUAAUUUUCCAUGUGAGUAGAGAUGCAAAUGACAUUGCGGAUGCGUUGGAUUAGGAAGGUGUUUUGAGUGGGGGAAAAACUCUGGACUAGGGACUCUUUCUCCUUAGAUUGAUGUACUAUUUCGAUUUUCAUUUUAUUUUCUUUAAUUAAAUGUUAUCUUCAAAGAAAAAGAAGAAGAUUCUGAUAUUUUUUUUUAUAUAUUGCUUUUCAUGUUCAUGCAUCA